CAGCACCGAAUCUCGCAGGUUUCAACCCCUGCCGAGAAAUGUGGUGUUUGGGAGGGUCCGCUUAUCCCGGAGGCCUGCGGCGAGUUCAAGUCCUUCUUGAAUGAGGCCACGGCCCGCAGAGGGUGCCAGGCCCGUAGAGACCGCUUUGCGGCUUCCGGGAGGAUCUCUCCUCAGAGUCGGGUUGCUUGAGAGUGCAGCCCUAAGUGGGUGGUAAACUCCAUCUAAGGCUAAAUAUGACCACGAGACCGAUAGCGAACAAGUACCGCGAGGGAAAGUUGAAAAGAACUUUGAAGAGAGAGUUAAAAAGUACGUGAAACCGUUCGGGGGUAAACGUGAGAAACCCGAAAAUUUCCCAACCGGAGAGAUUCAGGCCUUUCCGUAUCUUCCUCGCUUCCCUAUCCAGAUGGGUCCGACCCUCCGCACGGAGCAAUCCGGCGUCGGUGUGGCAACGGUUUUACUCGGUUCGGAGGUGUAGAACGAUCGGAGAGCCGCAUUUCUAGCCCUGUUGGACGUCGCGACCGUUGGGUGUCGGUCUAAGGACCCUGGUGCGUGUGUCUGUUCGUCCACGUCAUUCUUGACGUGCCUGUCGUGCAGACCCCCAGGUGUUUCCCGGCCGAGAAGCCCGACGGGUUGAGCAUUCGAGCGUGUGAGCCUUCGCUGCUACCGUCAAGGUGUGCGUUCAGGGCUCCCCCGUCCUUUGGCUAGGGGGUUACCCUUGGACAGAAGGCUACCGCCAGCGGCGCAAUAGCUUCGGGUAAUUUCACGACCCGUCUUGAAACACGGACCAAGGAGUCUAACAUGUGCGCGAGUCAUUGGGUUGACACUAAACCUAAAGGCGCAAUGAAAGUAAAAGGUAACUUAGGGAAGAUGGAGUCCGUACUAACGCGGCUCCCGCAUUCCCGGGGCGUCUCGUUCUCAUCACGAGUUGAGGCGCACCAAGAGCGUACACGUUGGGACCCGAAAGAUGGUGAACUAUGCCUGGCCAGGACGAAGUCAGGGGAAACCCUGAUGGAGGUCCGUAGCGAUUCUGACGUGCAAAUCGAUCGUCGGAGCUGGGUAUAGGGGCGAAAGACUAAUCGAACCAUCUAGUAGCUGGUUCCCUCCGAAGUUUCCCUCAGGAUAGCUGGCGCUCGAACGAGUCUCAUCCGGUCAAGCGAAUGAUUAGAGGCCUUGGGGCCGAAACGACCUCAACCUAUUCUCAAACUUUAAAUGGGUGAGAACUCCGGCUUGCUUAAAGCAUGAAGCCGAGAGAGGAGAUGAUCAGAGUGCCAAGUGGGCCACUUUUGGUAAGCAGAACUGGCGCUGUGGGAUGAACCAAACGCAGAGUUAAGGCGCCUAAAUGGACGCUCAUAGGAAACCAUGAAAGGCGUUGCUUGCUUAAGACAGCAGGACGGUGGCCAUGGAAGUCGGAAACCGCUAAGGAGUGUGUAACGACUCACCUGCCGAAGCAACUAGCCCUGAAAAUGGAUGGCGCUGAAGCGUCCUGCCUAUACUCUGCCGUCAGCACGGCAAUGAUUGGGACGCAGUGACUGCCUCGUCGGUCCUCGUCCCCGUGAAGCCCUGACGAGUAGGAGGGUCGCGGCGGUGAGCGCAGAAGGGUCUGGGCGUGAGCCUGCCUGGAGCCGCCGUCGGUGCAGAUCUUGGUGGUAGUAGCAAAUACUCCAGCGAGGCCCUGGAGGACUGACGCGGAGAAGGGUUUCGUGUGAACAGCCGUUGCACACGAGUCAGUCGAUCCUAAGCCCUAGGAGAAAUCCGAUGUCGAUGGGAGUCCAAGAAUUGACGGUUAGGACCCCAUCGGGCGAAAGGGAAUCCGGUUCCUAUUCCGGAACCCGGCUGCGGAACCGUAACAUGUCGGGCCCCUCGUAAGAGAAGCUCGUCGGGGUAACCCAAGAGGACCCGGAGACGCCGUCGGGAGAUCGGGGAAGAGUUUUCUUUUCUGUAUGAGCGUUCGAGUUCCCUGGAAUCCUCUAGCAGGGAGAUAGGGUUUGGAGCGCGAAGAGCACCGCAGUUGCGGCGGUGUCCCGAUCUUCCCCUCGGACCUUG
rnacentral:rRNA from 1 species